CAUAUAUUUUGGAAAAGUACACAACUCAAGGUAUUCAAUAUGGGGUAUGUACAGUCAUUUUUAGAAGCGACUUAGUCACAAACACUUGACAAAAUUAGCAUUUAUAUUUGUUGGUGUGUUAAAAAUUUAAAAAACAAUUAUGAAUGCCAAUUUUGGGCAGUGUUUGUGACUAAGUGGCUACUAAAAAAGACUGGAUAUACCCCAUUUGCAAUACCUUGGGUUGUCUUCUAUUUGCAAAUGGCAUG